CUCAGAUUGAACGCUGGCGGAAUGCUUUACACAUGCAAGUCGAGCGGCAGCGCGGGGCAACCUGGCGGCGAGCGGCGAACGGGUGAGUAAUACAUCGGAACGUGCCCAGACGUGGGGGAUAACUACUCGAAAGAGUGGCUAAUACCGCAUACGAUCUACGGAUGAAAGCGGGGGAUCGCAAGACCUCGCGCGUCUGGAGCGGCUGAUGGCAGAUUAGGUAGUUGGUGGGAUAAAAGCCUACCAAGCCAACGAUCUGUAGCUGGUCUGAGAGGAUGAUCAGCCACACUGGGACUGAGACACGGCCCAGACUCCUACGGGAGGCAGCAGUGGGGAAUUUUGGACAAUGGGCGAAAGCCUGAUCCAGCCAUUCCGCGUGCAGGAUGAAGGCCCUCGGGUUGUAAACUGCUUUUGUACAGAACGAAAAAGACUCUGGCUAAUACCUGGAGUCCAUGACGGUACUGUAAGAAUAAGCACCGGCUAACUACGUGCCAGCAGCCG
rnacentral:rRNA from 1 species